rnacentral:rRNA from 1 species
UACGUAGGUGGCAAGCGUUGUCCGGAUUUACUGGGCGUAAAGAGCGCGCAGGCGGUCAAUCAAGUCGCGUGUGAAAGCCCCCGGCUCAACUGGGGAGGGUCACGCGAUACUGAUCGACUCGAAGGCAGGAGAGGGUAGUGGAAUUCCCGGUGUAGUGGUGAAAUGCGUAGAUAUCGAUGAGGAAGACCAGUGGCGAAGGCGGUCUCUGGACAGUUCCGUGAC